CUUGCAUUACUCUUAAUCGAGGAAUCCCUUCGGGGACAAGGUGACAGGUGGUGCAUGGUUGUCGUCAGCUCGUGUCGUGAGAUGUUGGGUUAAGUCCCGCAACGAGCGCAACCCUUGUCGUUAGUUACUACCAUUAAGUUGAGGACUCUAGCGAGACUGCCUGGGUUAACCAGGAGGAAGGUGGGGAUGACGUCAAAUCAUCAUGCCCCUUAUGUGUAGGGCUACACACGUGCUACAAUGGCUGGUACAGAGAGAUGCAAUACCGCGAGGUGGAGCCAAACUUAAAAACCAGUCUCAGUUCGGAUUGUAGGCUGAAACUCGCCUACAUGAAGCUGGAGUUACUAGUAAUCGCGAAUCAGAAUGUCGCGGUGAAUACGUUCCCGGGUCUUGUACACACCG
rnacentral:rRNA from 1 species